UACGUAGGGAGCAAGCGUUGUCCGGAAUCAUUGGGCGUAAAGCGCGCGUAGGUGGCCUCAUAAGUCCGCUGUGAAAGUCAAAGGCUCAACCUUUGAAAGCCGGUGGAUACUGUGAGGCUAGAGUACGGAAGAGGCGAGUGGAAUUCCUGGUGUAGCGGUGGAAUGCGCAGAUAUCAGGAGGAACACCAAUAGCGAAGGCAGCUCGCUGGGACGUUACUGACACUGAGGCGCGAAAGCGUGGGGAGCAAAAGGG
rnacentral:rRNA from 1 species